rnacentral:lncRNA from 1 species
ACUUUGCUAGCCCCCUUUUUCUUUCUUUUUCUUUUCUUUUCAUAUUUUUUUUUUUUUUUUUUUUUAAAUGGGGGCCAAGACUUUUCAUAACUUGAGCUAGAGGUUUUUUUUUUUUACUUAUCCCAGUAAGACAAUUCACUUAAACACAAAGAGUUAUUUAUUUUCCUUUUUCAUUGCUCCCAAAUCAUAAUCACAACUCUCACCCCCCCCCCCACCUAUAGCUAGACAAUAGAGUGCCCAAUC